GCGGAUAUGGCGGAACUGGCAGACGCGCUAGACUUAGGAUCUAGUCCUUCGGGGUGCAGGUUCGAUUCCUGUUAUCCGCA
rnacentral:tRNA from 16 species